rnacentral:rRNA from 1 species
AGUCGACGAUGAAUCUUCUAGCUUGCUAGAAGUGGAUUAGUGGCGCACGGGUGAGUAAUGCAUAGGUUAUGUGCCCUUUAGUCUGGGAUAGCCACUGGAAACGGUGAUUAAUACUGGAUACUCCCUACGGGGGAAAGUUUUUCGCUAAAGGAUCAGCCUAUGUCCUAUCAGCUUGUUGGUGAGGUAAUGGCUCACCAAGGCUAUGACGGGUAUCCGGCCUGAGAGGGUGAUCGGACACACUGGAACUGAGACACGGUCCAGACUCCUACGGGAGGCAGCAGUAGGGAAUAUUGCUCAAUGGGGGAAACCCUGAAGCAGCAACGCCGCGUGGAGGAUGAAGGUUUUAGGAUUGUAAACUCCUUUUGUUAGAGAAGAUUAUGACGGUAUCUAACGAAUAAGCACCGGCUAACUCCGUGCCAGCAGCCGCGGUAAUACGGAGGGUGCAAGCGUUACUCGGAAUCACUGGGCGUAAAGAGUGCGUAGGCGGGGUAAUAAGUCAGAUGUGAAAUCCUGUAGCUUAACUACAGAACUGCAUUUGAAACUGUUACUCUGGAGUGUGGGAGAGGUAGGUGGAAUUCUUGGUGUAGGGGUAAAAUCCGUAGAGAUCAAGAGGAAUACUCAUUGCGAAGGCGACCUGCUGGAACAUUACUGACGCUGAUGCACGAAAGCGUGGGGAGCGAACAGGAUUAGAUACCCUGGUAGUCCACGCCCUAAACGAUGGAUGCUAGUUGUUGCCUUGCUUGUCAGGGCAGUAAUGCAGCUAACGCAUUAAGCAUCCCGCCUGGGGAGUACGGUCGCAAGAUUAAAACUCAAAGGAAUAGACGGGGACCCGCACAAGCGGUGGAGCAUGUGGUUUAAUUCGAAGAUACGCGAAGAACCUUACCUAGGCUUGACAUUGAUA